GAUGAACGCUAGCGGCAGGCCUAAUACAUGCAAGCCAAGCGCUGUUUGGUGUAGCAAUACAUCACACAACCGGCGGACGGGUGCGUAACGCGUAUGCAACCUACCCUCUCCAGGAGGAUAGCCCUCGUAAACGAGGAUUAAUGCUCCCUAAGAUUGCUUCGCGUCAUCUUUAAGCCAUUAAAGCCGCACUGCGGUAUAGGAUGGGCGUGCGUCCGAUUAGCUAGUUGGUGCGGUAACGGCUCACCAAGGCGGUGAUCGGUAAGGGUUCUGAGAGGAAGAUCCCCGACACGGGAACAGGAACACGGGCCCGACGCCUACGGGAGGCAGCAGUAAGGAAUAUUGGGCAAUGGGGGAAAGCCUGAUCCAGCCAGGCAGAGUGCAGGAAGAAGGCGCUAGGGGUUGUAAACUGCUUUUGAGAGGGAGAAAUAAGGGCGAUGCGGCGCUCGAUGAUAGUACUGGGCGAAUAAGCAUCGGCUAACUUCGUG
rnacentral:rRNA from 1 species